UUUUCUUUUCUUGUGAUGUCUUUGUCUGGCUUUGAUAUCAGGGUAAUGGUGGCCUCAUAAAAUGGGUUUGGAAGUGCACCUUCCUGUUCAAUGUUUUGGGAGAGUUUGGGAAGGAUUAAUGUAAACUCC